rnacentral:rRNA from 1 species
CCUACGGGAGGCAGCAGUGAGGAAUAUUGGUCAAUGGUCGGGAGACUGAACCAGCCAAGCCGCGUGAGGGAGGAAGGUACAGAGUAUCGUAAACCUCUUUUGUCAGGGAACAAAGGCGGGGACGUGUCCCCGGAUGAGUGUACCUGAAGAAAAAGCAUCGGCUAACUCCGUGCCAGCAGCCGCGGUAAUACGGAGGAUGCGAGCGUUAUCCGGAUUUAUUGGGUUUAAAGGGUGCGCGGGCGGUCUGUUAAGUCAGCGGUAAAAGCCCGGGGCUCAACCCCGGCCCGCCGUUGAAACUGGCAGUCUCGAGUUGGAGAGAAGUAUGCGGAAUGCGCGGUGUAGCGGUGAAAUGCAUAGAUAUCGCGAAGAACUCCGAUUGCGAAGGCAGCAUGCCGGCUCCACACUGACGCUGAGGCACGAAAGCGUGGGUAUCGAACAGGAGUAGAUACCCCGGUAGUC